rnacentral:tRNA from 1 species
GGACCCAUAGCUCAGCGGUAGAGCAUCUGAUUCCAGCUUCUAAGUUAUGGAAACAGCAUCCAGAAGGUCAUCCGUUCAAAUCGGGUUGGGUUCA